GCGGAAGCGGAAGUGUGCGAGCGGCUGCGGCGGGGCCGAGGGCUGCGCGCGUCUCCGCUGUGCUGGCGCUUCUCUAGGUCGGCUAUCAGCCGUUCCUUCCGUGGUCAGUAUGUCUGCCUCGAGUGCCCGCCCAUACUUCCUCUGCUGUGGGCUUAGGGAUCGUUGUUAGAACCGGGUACAAACUAGUCCAUAGAUGGUACAUCAGAGCCUGAGAAAACCUGGCUUUUCCAGGAGUGCAGCUAUGGGUGUAAGAGGCUUGCAGGGCUUUGUUGCAAGUACCUGCCCACAUGUAUGUACCGUAGUUAAUCUCAGAGAGCUGGCCGAGCGCCACCGGAGCAAGCACCCGGGCUGCACGCCCACCAUCGUGGUGGACGCCAUGUGCUGCCUCAGGUACUGGUACACUCCCGAGUCGUGGGUUUGUGGUGGCCAGUGGAGAGAGUACUUUUCUGCUUUGCGAGACUUUGUUAAAACCUUUGAAACUUUUGGCAUCAAGUUGAUAUUCUUCUUUGAUGGCAUGGUGGAGCAGGGUAAGAGAGAUGUGUGGGUGAAACGAAGACUCAAGAACAACAGGGAAAUAGCCAGGAUUUUCCAUUACAUCAAGUCCCACAGGGAGCAGCCCAGCAGAAACAUGUUCUUCAUCCCCUCGGGGCUGGCCAUAUUUACACGUUUUGCUUUGAAGACCCUGGGUCAGGAAACUCUGUGUUCAUUACAGGAGGCCGACUAUGAGGUGGCAUCCUAUGGCCUCCAGAAUGACUGUCUUGGGAUUCUCGGAGAAGACACCGACUACUUAAUUUAUGAUACCUGUCCCUACUUUUCAAUUAGCGAACUCUGCCUGGACAGUCUCGACACCAUCAUGCUCUGUAGGCAGAAGCUCUGUGAGAGUCUGGACCUCGGCCCGGCAGACCUUCCUCUUCUGGCCUGCCUGCUUGGCAAUGACAUCGUCCCGGAAGGCGUGUUUGAAAGCUUCCGGUACAAGUGCUUGUCUUCCUAUACCUCUGUGAAAGAGAACUUUGACAAGAAAGGCAACACUGUCUUAGCUGUAGCACACCACAUAGCUAAAGUUCUUCGCUUACAUCAAGGUGAGAAAAAGCUAGAAGAGAUGUUACCUUUGGGACCAAACAAAGCUCUUUUUUAUAAAGGGGUGGCAUCGUAUCUUUUGCCAGGACAGACAUCUCCGUGGAUUUUCCAAAAACCCAAAGGUUUAACAACUUUGCACAAGCAGGUGGUACCCAUGAGUUCAGACCCUGAAUCUAAGCAAGAAAUUCCUGUGUGUACAGACCCUGAAUCCAACCAAGAAAGUCCUAUGUGUUCAGACCCUGCACCCAACCAGGAAAUUCCUGUGCGUACAGACCCUGAAAUUAAACAAGAAGACUCCAUGAAUAUGGAGCCUGAAGUCAAGCAACAAGUCACCAUGGUUUCAGACACUGAAAUCCUAAAGGUUGCCAGGACGCGCCACGUCCAGGGGGAGAGCUACCUGGUGUACAACAUCCUGACCAGUGGGGAGAUCGAAUGCAGCAACACCCUGGAGGACGCGCUGGACCAGGCUCUGCCCAGCCAGGCCUUUGUGUACCGCCCCGUGCGGCAGCGUGCCUACUCCCUCCUGCUGGGGAGCGGCCAAGGUGACGCCAGCGGCUGCCCCACCGUCCGGGAGUGGUUUGUGUAUGCGGGGAACCCGCUGAGACACCCGGACCUCGUCAGGCCUCUGCCGAUGAACCUUCCAGGGGGCACGCCUAGUUUGAAACUGCUGUGGCUGAACCAGGAGCCAGGAACGCAAGCCCUGCGCGUGGACACGCUCCUGGCCUGUUUCGACCUCUCGUCCUCGCGGGAAGAGCUGCAGGCGGUCGAGAGCCCGUUCCAGGCGCUGUGCUGUGUCCUGACCUACCUCUUUGUGCAGGUGGACACGCUGUGCCUGGAGGACCUGCAUGCGUUCAUCGCCCAGGCCUUGUGCCUGCAAGGAAAGUCAGCCGCGCAGCUGGAGGCCCUACAGCUCGACUGCGUGGACCCCAGAGCUGUGCAGCUGGGCGCCCUGCUGGUCCGCGGCCUCACCAUGCUGGUUCUGGUCAACAGCGCAUGCGGCUGCCCCUGGAGGGCUGGUGACCUCAUGCCCUGGAACGUGUUUGACGGGAAGCUCUUCCAGGAGAAGUACCUGCAAUCGGAGAAGGGCUGCGCUGCCGAGGUCCUUGUGGAGCAGAAUAGGCCCCGACUCACCAGGUUCCACAGCCUCAAGUCCGUUGUGUGCAAGGCUUGCCUGAAGGAGGACAGACACAUCAUCAGCCGGCAGCACUGGCGACCACACCACUCAGGGCGGUUGGAGAGGCAGGGUUCUGGCUCCCACAGGACAAGCUCCGGGUACAGCCGGUCUGGCCAAGGACAGCACUGGAGAGACCAGGGGCCAGGAAGCAGGCAGCAUGAGCCGGAGCGGUGGACAAGACACUCACCGUCGGCCAGGAGGGGUGUUCCGACAUCCUGGCCUUCCUAAGAGAGCCAGUCUGCGCGGCUAGUCCCACGUGACGCCCGACAGCUGUAGUUCCCCAACUGUUUCCUGCUUACAACCUCUGACCAGUGUGAGCGUCCCAGCCCUGCCUUUGCUCAGCCCUCAAACAGAGAAGGGCCAGUCUGAUUACACUGCGUGGUCCUUCAGGCACAAGGGAAGAAUAUUCCAGAAAGGGACCUUCGUCCUCAGAGGCUGAGGUGGCGUGAACUUGCUGUCUCAGGAGCGAGGCCCGCCCUGGGAGGUGAGCUGUUCUUGGGGCGCUCACUUGCGCCGCUGGUCGCCCCACGAGUGGCGUGUGACCAUUCAGACUCUGGCUGUGGCUGGCUGUCCGGAAUAGCUUAGCAUUCAGUAUGUCACAUGUGUGUUGCUUCUAAUGGAUUUUAGUCCUUGUAGGAAUUUUUUACCCUGAACAUUUCUUUGUUCAUUGUCUUCAUAUUCUGAAAAUUUUUAAAAAUUGUGUUUGUGUGAGACUUUCCUUUUACCAUCCAUUCUGCUUGGCAUCGUGUGGUCCUGUGUCCCCCUAAGAUCUGGGGGUUUUCUUGUGUGAUUUCUUAGAAGGUUUACAGGCUGUCUCAUGGAACCCUUGUUAGAUCUAGAAUGUUCCAAGUGUAUAUAUAUUUCUUAUCCUCUUGCAUAUUUUCUGUCGUUUUGUUUCAACACUGUCUCCUCAGCUUGAUUUCCAGCCUGCUGAUUCUUCCUGAAUUGCAAGUGUGGUUUUUGUCAGAGUAAACGUCACUCACCUUCUCCAAGGCCAUUUUCAGCAGAUUAAUCCCCUCCUCUGUUUCUAGAAGCACCUACUUACUUGCAACAUUUUAGAUGGUUAUUUGCUAAUCAUCUGUGUUUCUUCUGUUUUAGGAAUUACCUUUCAAGCUUUCACUGUGGAAGUUAAGGAAUUUUCUUUUCUGCCCCAUUUCCUGUACUUCCAAAUAGUUAUUCUAUUGGGUUGUCAGAAAAGUCAUGACAUGUUUUUUCUGUUUCUCGUUGCAAAAAUGCGUCAUGACUUUUCCGACAACCCAAUAGUUAGAUCCUGUUACUGUUUCUGAGGGCAAUGCUGGCAACUAACCCAAAUAAUUACUGUCACUUUUACUUGCAUAGCAUUCAUUUUUGUCUGUAGCGUUUCUUUUUGGUUCUUUUUUAGGAUCUCUGUCUCGGCUUGGACCCCCAUCUGCCCGUGCUGUCUCACUUACCCACUGACUCGCUUAGCAUCGAAUUGUAGCGCUUUCAACUCCUGGUCUCAUAAUGCCACAUCCCUGCCAUGAGUGUUCCCGCUGCCCUGAGAGCCAGAUGGGGGAGGGGGCCUCUGCAUGCCUGUGAGCAGGGUCAGUGUCUGCAUGAGCCCCGCCUCCAGACUCUGGGCUCCACAGCGUUUCCCAGGUUUUUCUUCCUCUUAAGUGGACAGGGUGGCUGACAGGGGUCCCCUGGGGCAGUGUAGGUGACGCUCUGGUAAAUGGUUGCCUUGAGGGGAGGCUUGUUGGGGAGAACAGGGUUCUCCCUUUCCCUCCCCUGCUGAAGCCAGUGGCGGAGCGUUCUUGAUAUUUACUGAGGGAACCUGGUCAAGCUCCAGGAGGUAAAUCUCACAAUACUGGGGACCCCUGUGACUGGGUCCCCCUGGAUUUUUAACCCUUAGACUUGUGCACACUGAGCCCCCACAAUGCAUCAACCACAGUUCAGGGUUCCCACAGGGUUCAGACCCUCAUGAAUAUGCUCCGGGAAGCUGGGGCCCGUACCUGCUUGUCUGUGUCCGCUGUCUGGGGACAGUGGUUUGCCUGCCUGCUCCCUUCUCUUACGGAGCCAAGAAGAGUUGUCGAUUCUUCCGUCUGUUCAGCCUUGUUAGUACUGAGUGGCGACUCCAAGCUCCUUACGAGCAGAACUGGACAUCAGGAGUCCCCACAGCAAUUGUUUUUUCCUAGACUUACUGACUCUUGUUUUUUGCUUGUGAGUUUGUUUAGUUUUCUUUGUAUAUUUAUCAUAAUUCAACUUCAGAUUCUCCCCCAGUUUUCCAAAUCUCCUUUCAGUGCGUUCAUGCGAUGGGCAUCUCAUCGGCUUCACCUUCUGGUCAGUACCCCCCGCACUCGCCCAGCCAGGCCCUGAGUGGUGCUCUCUCGGCCUCCGCCCAGCUGGCACCCUUGUCACCAACUCCCGAAUCUUCACACCUCUGUCUCAUGUUGGAUUCCUGAAUCCCGUAUCUUCCUCUUUCUUGGUUUACUCUCUUAUCCUGAGAAAAAGGGCAUAAACCUUUGAGCCCUUGCAGGUCGGAAAAUCUCUUUAUCCUAUCUUAACUUUUAAUUGAAAGUUUACCUGGUUAUAGAAUUCUGGGUUGAAAACAGUUUUUAGAAUGUUGUAGACUGCUCCAUUGCCUCCUGGCUUCCAGUGUGUCCCAGGUGAGAACCUGGUGUUUUUCUGAUUCUUGAUCUUUUGUUUGAACCUGUCUUUUUGUCUCUGGAUGUUUACAGGGUCCUCUCUAUACUUGAAAUCUCAUGAUAGGGCCUGAGUGUGGGUCCUUGUCACCCACUGUGCUGGAUAGCCGGUGGUUUUCAGUCUGGUCCCUCACGUCCAGCAUUAAACCACACGUGCUCUGGCAACUGCACUGGCCUAGACAGACAGCAGCGUGAUGGCCUCGGGUCAUCUCCGAACCUGACUUCUGUCACCGCACAGUGUGCUGUCGGCUUCCAGCUGCCCCACCUGAGGGCACGUCCACUCAUAUGUGCUGAGGCUUUGCCCCAAACCUGUGUCUCCAGAGAGAUCAGUGCGGACGUGAGGGCAGCCGCCCCCCUUGUGAGCCACGUGCUUAUCACGCCUCUUCUCUGCAGCUCGAUCUGCAGCCACAUCCGUCAGCCCCUGUGUCCUCCAGUCAUCAGGCUGUUCCCUCCGGUCUGCAUCAUGGAAGCUUCGGCGCCCGUGUUCUGGAGUCAUUGUCAGCGUUUUGCCACCCUUGCUUCAGCUCUCCAUGUCUUACCUUUGCUGACUUAACUAUCUUUUCACCUUGCAAAAAGAGAACCCGGGUAUAUUAAAUCUUGAGUUUAUUGCAGCAUAAAUCCAUGCGACGGGGCAGCAGCAAACUGGCAGUGGUGAGGAGCGCUCCACCGCUCGCCUGGCGGGAGCCCAGCAGGAGGGCAUCACGGCUGCAGCCCAGAGCUGGCUGUUUGUGCUUGGCUGUCCCUAGGCUUCGGUGUGUGAACCUUGAGGCCUUUACAGGCUGAGGUAUUCGUGUGCUUCCGUAGGCUGCUGAGGCAUGAAAGCCACCACAGUCUAAUGGCCUCCUCAUUUAAGUAACGUAACAACCUCCAGACUGAGCCUGCACCUCUGGCCUUUGACGAGGAAGGAAGUUGGUGGGCGUGCACGUCUGCUUGGCCAGGCCUUAGCCAGUGGGCCCCCAGGCUGGGGCCCAACACCCGAGCUCUUGCUGGGGUGCACCCCCGACCCCAGCAAGAGCUUCCAGAGGGUCCCCACUUGGGGAGCGGGGGGGCAGCCUAGCCAUGCAGGCCACAACGAUGUCCCUAUCCCCGGUGUGCCCGUCUGCCCCGUGUACGGUGACUCAGAGCUAAUUCUCAUCUUGCAGACGGAGAUCUCCUGGGAUGGUUUCUAUGUCAUCGUCUUCCUUUCAUUGUUUCUGCUCUCUGUCACUUGUCUAAGGUUAGACACUCCCAACAUCUUUGUGUCCUUUUGCUUUAUUUUCUGGGAAAUUUUCUCAAUUUUAUCUUCCAUCCUUUCUAGUAGUUAUUUAAUUUCACUGUUUUUAAAUCCUGAGAACUCAGAAGGUUUCUUUCUUAUAGCAGUCUUCUUUGUUUUGUGAUUGCAACAUUUUCUCUUACAACAAGGAAAUUAAUUGUCCCAGUGGCGUUUUAUUUUAUUUUCUCUUCCUCCUUUGUAGACUGUUCUUCCGGGUUUCUUUCUCUGUGUGCAUGUUGGCUUCCAUUUUGGAUUUUCCUCCUCAGACACCUGGUAACUCUUGAGCCCCCACGUGUGUCUGGAGGGCUGUGCCCAGUGGGCUGUCAGCUGCAGUCCCUGGGGAGCCACGGCACUGCCACCCUUCAUUUCUUUAUGUUGGGUGGUUCCUUUUCCUCAGAGGGGUGUCAGCUCAGAGGGGAUGGUGACUUAAGAAAAUCUGAAGAAGGCCCAAGUGACCAUUUGGAAUGGGGGGUGCGGGAGGCAGUGAGAAGUGCCUUAGAACGACUGCAGGCUUCCGACUGGAGCUAUUAGAAUUUCAGUACCAUUGACUUGGGUUGGAUAUUCUAGGGGAGAAGAACAUGGAGCAGGCAGUAACUUUGGGGUGCAUUGCCUGAGGAGCCCAGACUUUGGAAGACCAAGGGUCAGGUUCUGCUCUGCCGCUGCUACAGGCCUGGCCUUGGGCAGUGCACCUGGCUUCUCCACGCUCUGCCUUCUUGGACGGUCACCUCCCCAAGGGACAUUAAAUGACAGAAUGUUUAUGGACAUGCAGCAUUUUGCAAACACACACAGAGUGGUGGGAGCGCCUGUGGUCAGAAGGGCCCAGGAACGUAAGUUGAGAUUCACGGUAAGGGACCAGGACCAGACGCUGGCGCCAGAGCCACAGCCAUGUGACGGCUCGGAGCCAGCGGUGACGUGCUGGGCCAUUUAGGGAGGCGCAGCUUCCUGUGUCCUCCAGGUGGGAUUGGCGCACCACGUAGGGACAACGACACGUACUGAGGCCGUGGGGGUGGGCCCACGAUAAGCGCCUGGUGAGUGAGCCAGGCAGGGUGGACGUGACCUGACGGCCACAGUACCGCCCUUGGUAAAGGAACUCCCCAUGGGUGUGGAGACCCCUCAGCUCCUUCUGGAACUUGGCAGAACAUCCCCCCGCUUCCAUUCCAGUUGCACAUGUCAGCUACACACGCACACUCAUGCGUACACACACAUGUGCAGACAUGCACAAACAGGCAUGUGGGCAUGCACACACGCACAUGCACACCUCAGGUUCACCUGCCUCACGGCGCUACAGCUGACAGGCGGCCCUUGUCUCCGCAGCUCACCCUCCACACAGCCUCGUCCCUCCACUUGGGGACUCGCCCUCGGCAGGAGGAGCAGGCGGCGUUGACGCUCACGCUCCCUGGGGUGGCUCAGGUUGCAGGUGACCAGGAGACUC